AUCUGCGUUGCUCUUUCUGGGGAGGCCACGGCGCGCAGAGCCUGGCGAGCUCGCGGCUGGAGCCGCGCUGGAGCCGGCCGCGGGCGCGCAGGGCUUCUUGGAUACGCGAGCUUUGGAGCUUCGGUGGCGUGGGGACCGCUGAGACUGCACGAUGCACAAGGAAGCAGCCCUGAGAUGUGAUGUAAGAAGCCAGUGCACAGGAAACUGAACCCACACAAGGAUGCUUUGAGAGAUCUGAAGGCAGGGUGCGUAAUUGCAAACAAAUCACCGAGGGCGACAGUUUUAUCAUCAGCAGUUCUGACACUUCCUGGAUGACUCUGGCCAAGAUGUUCAAUUUCUCUUUCUAAGUGUCAUUAAGGGAUUGUGCAUGGCAGUAGCUGUGACUACGGAUCCAGAUGUACACAGCAGAUAUGGAAGCCAGGCUGGCAUCCUUGGAGAUGAAGGUCUGCAGCUGGGACCCCCAGUCACAGGCGUGAAUGGGGGUCUGAAUCAGGCUGACCACCCCAAGACCAUGACAACAGCCCAGGAUGGCCCUGGACAGGGUGCCACAGCCACUAGCUCAGCCUCCAACCUGAAGGCCCCCAACAUGGUGACAUCCUCAGCAUGUCAGAACGGAGGCUGCAAGAGCAGCCCAGCCGGCGACCCUGAAGCUGCAGAAACCAGGCUCAGCCCUUCCAAGCUGGUGCGUCUUUUCUCGGGGAGUCGGAAGAGGAUGAACGCCAACUCUGAGAGGCCUCGCUCAGUAGUCCUGGUGGGGAAUUCCUCCACAUGGAAUGCCUUGGCUUCCUUCCGUAAAAUGGGAUCUUUUAAAAGAUUGAAAUCCUCUGUCCUUCAGGGAAUUCAGAACCGGGAGGGGGCAGAUGUUUCCAAGGAAGAACCAGCAGGAGACUCAGGCAGGGCUGCUCCCAAUGGCACCAUUGCCAUCCUGGGAAAGGGCCUAGGCAGGUGCCCAUCCCUGGGGCCUGCAGGGGAUGGUGCCGGUUCCGACUGCUCGGACCCUGAGGACACAGAGGAUGCCUUCCAGAGGAGCACGCACCGCUCACGCAGCAUUCGCAGGGCCUACGGCCUGGGCCGCAUCAGCCUGCUGGAUCUGGGGCGGCAGCCAGCACCGGAGCCCGCCCUGUGCGAGAUCCAUGUGAGCGACCCUGAGCCCAGUGGCGCUGUGCCUCUACCACGCAGAAGUAAGAGCAUCGACAGCUUGAGUGUCCUGAAGAACUCCUUCAAGCGCAAGUCCGCGUCCAACCUCACGGAACUGUCGGGUGACAGGCAGAUUCCCCCCAGGACCCUGAGCAGCUCAUCCACUGACUCCGAGAAGCCAGGUGGCUCCCAGAGAAGGACCAGACGCUGGAGGAGCCCCAUCCGGGCCAAAGACUUCGACCGAGUCUUAAGACUGGUUAGCAACGUCAAGGAUGCAGCCUGGAAGAGGGAGGCCCCCAGGAGUGCAGCCCCUAGCCCAGAUUCUGAUGCAGGGGAUGUGAAGCCGCCACUGGGGCCACGCAGCAAGCUACACGAUGACUACUCACGCCGCACCAGCAGCAGUGUGGAGCCAGAUGCCAGGCGUGGUGGCCCUUUGUCCACAGCCUGUGUUCCCCCACCAUGCACUGCUGCGCCCAGCGCAGCUCAAGAACCCCACCUGGAUGUGGACACCGCAGUAUUUCCCCUGGAAACCAAAAGUGCUCAGCCUCUGGGAAAUGACGAACCUCGAGUCAGCAGCCCCUCACUGAGUCUCACAGACCCAGAAGGGUUGGGCCAAGCCUCCAACGAGGCAGCUGCAGGCAGCCAGCUUCCCUUCGACCCUGUGCAGCUUGCCACCCCUCUGAGGCCCACCACGCCCAAGCCCCAAAGCCCCCAGAGCCCAGGGAGUACUAAAUGCCCCAGUAGUCUAAGUGUGAUGUCUCUCAGUUCAGCGGACAGUGAAGAAAGGACAGAGGAUGCUGCCCACAGGCAGCUAGGACCCGCAUCCCUCCAGGACACUGUGCCAACCAUGGCGGGCGGUGAGGGAGGAGAAAGUCGCGACAGCUCUUUUCCCGUGAAUCUUGAUGGGGCCGCCAAUCCGGAAGAGAGGAAGGAGGAGGUGGUGAAUGAGGAUGACUGGCCGCAGGGUUCAGCCCAGGAGGAGGAGCACACUGAGGUGCCCCGCAUCUCCAGGAGGAGAUGGGGCUCAGGAAGGCGCACCCGGCCACGGCCACUGUCUGACUACGGCCAGCUGGCUAGCAGGAGCUUGUCCAUUCCUGAAGAUGCCAUUGCUGCAGACCCUCCAGAUGACGACCAUAUGGACAGAAUGCACCCGUCAAGAGUGAACACCACCAGCCAGGAUCCACGUGCCCCCUCAGGCUGUUCCAGAGGGACCCGGAGAAGGCGACCUAUAUCUGUGAUUGGAGGGGUCAGCUUCUAUGGCAACACCCAGGCAGAGGAUGUGGAGAACCUCUUGGUCCAACCAGCAGCCAGGCCUCCCGUGCCUGCGCACCAGGUUCCACCCUACAAGGCUGUAUCAGCCCGCCUCCGGCCCUUCACCUUUUCCCAGAGCACUCCCAUCGGGCUGGACCGCGUGGGGCGCCGACGGCAGAUGAAAGCAUCCAAUGUCUCUUCAGAUGGAGGUGCAGAAUCUUCGGCCUUAGUGGAUGACAAUGGCAGUGAGGAAGACUUUAGCUAUGAAGAACUCUGCCAAGCCAACCCUCGGUACCUGCAGCCAGGCGGGGAACAGCUGGCCAUCAACGAGCUCAUCAGCGAUGGCAGCGUGGUCUGUGCAGAAGCACUGUGGGACCAUGUGACCAUGGAUGACCAAGAACUGGGCUUCAAGGCUGGGGAUGUCAUCCAGGUCCUGGAAGCCUCUAACAAGGAUUGGUGGUGGGGCCGGAAUGAGGAUAAAGAAGCCUGGUUCCCUGCAAGCUUUGUUAGGCUUCGAGUCAAUCAGGAGGAGUUGCCGGAGAGCUGUAGCAGCUCCCAUGGGGAAGAGCAGGAUGAGGACACCAGCAAGGCCCGCUACAAGCACCCUGAGAGCCAGCAGCAGAUGCGCACCAACGUCAUCCAGGAGAUCAUGAACACGGAGCGCGUGUACAUCAAGCACCUCAAGGACAUCUGUGAGGGCUAUAUCCGACAGUGUCGUAAGCAUACGGGAAUGUUCACGGUUGCGCAGCUAGCCACUAUUUUUGGAAACAUUGAAGACAUUUACAAAUUCCAAAGACAGUUCCUGAAAGACCUUGAGAAACAGUACAACAAAGAGGAACCCCACUUAAGUGAAAUAGGAUCCUGCUUUCUUCGGCACCAAGAGGGCUUUGCCAUCUACUCUGAGUACUGCAACAACCACCCAGGUGCAUGUGUGGAGCUGUCCAACCUCAUGAAGCAGAGCAGGUACCGGCACUUCUUUGAGGCCUGCCGCCUGCUCCAACAGAUGAUUGACAUCGCCUUGGAUGGCUUCCUCCUCACGCCUGUGCAGAAGAUCUGUAAAUACCCGCUGCAGCUGGCUGAGCUGCUCAAGUACACCACACAGGAGCACAGCGAUUACAACAAUAUCAAGGCAGCUUAUGAGGCCAUGAAGAAUGUGGCCUGCUUGAUCAAUGAACGCAAGCGCAAGCUGGAGAGCAUUGACAAGAUUGCCCGCUGGCAGGUGUCCAUCGUAGGCUGGGAGGGCCUGGACAUUCUAGACCGAAGCUCAGAGCUGAUUCAUUCUGGGGAGCUGACCAAAAUCACCAGGCAGGGCAAGAGCCAGCAGCGCAUCUUCUUCCUAUUCGACCACCAGCUGGUGUCCUGUAAGAAGGACCUGCUGCGCAGGGACAUGCUGUACUACAAGGGCCGCACGGACAUGGACGAGGUGGAGCUCGUGGACGUGGAGGAUGGGCGCGACAAAGACUGGAACGUCAGCAUGCGGAACGCCUUCAAGUUGGUCAGCAAAACCACAGAUGAGGUGCAUCUGUUUUGUGCCAGGAAGCAGGAAGACAAGGCCAGGUGGCUGCAGGCCUGUGCAGACGAGAGGCAGCGGGUGCAGGAGGACCAGCAGAUGGGAAUGGAAAUCCCAGAAAAUCAAAAGAAACUCGCCAUGUUGAAUGCUCAGAAGGCUGGACAUGGGAAAUCUAAAGGCUACAGCAGCUGCCCUGUGGCCCCACCCCAUCAGAGCCUGCUACCCCUUCACCAGCGCCACAUCACGGUGCCUACCAGCAUCCCACAGCAGCAGGUCUUUGCCUUGGCCGAGCCCAAGAGGAAGCCAUCACUCUUCUGGCACACCUUCCACAAACUCACCCCCUUCAGGAAAUGAGCCUUACUCGGGGUGUGCCUCUGAGGUAGUUGGGAAGGAAGACCAGUUUUGUCUCUUCAGUGUGAUGUCCAGGGAUGGCUUCUUGCUCAGCGAUGAACACUUCUUUUGGGAAUCAAUGAUGAAGAGGAGUUGGACUCAUCUUUGACCUUGAGAAGCCCCGGUGUCCUUGUGGAAAGGAGGAGGCCAUGAAGCACUGGUCUAUCCCACACUGGAAGCCACGGUGCACUCUCAAGUGGCUGGGAUGUAGGGACCAGGGCCUCUCUCUGCAUGGAGACUGCUGACUCUGUGGCCCUGGGAAUUUACCACUGACAGUCCUAUUUCUGCUGCGGUUCCAGACAGUACCAAGAGCCUUUCAGUCCCUCAGGAGCAACUGCAUGAAGGAUGGCUUCCGUGUUUGAUUUCAGGAACUCCUUGACAAGAGAUUGGUAGGACAUUGACAGCCAUAGGAUAAGUGGUCAGGUCAGGCCUGGGAGAGACAACGAAGGAGCUAGAGCUGCUGGGCAGGUGCCCACAGUUUUCCAAGGUGUAGCAGGUUUCAUCUUGCAAGGUUCCUUAUUCAUAAGCUAGGGAGAGACGACAGGAGGUAUCUGUCGCCCUGGCAGUGUGGGGCAUGAGUGCAUCCUCAAAGCAGUGCUGCUUUCCAGACUAUAAGGAAGAGCACUGCCAGCUCGUUUGUCCUUCUCAGCUCUUCAAGCAGAGGUUAUGUCUUGCUCACCCAUCACAACCCAAGACGCUGUCAUUCACUGAAGUAAUGGCCGUGUGAAAAUUCUUUCAAGUUUGAUAACACGAUAAUGUGUACCUGUGCAUCUUCAACAGACAUUUGCAGUUUCUCCGUCAGUGAGAUGAUGAUGAAGACACAGACAUUCCACAGAGAAAACAAGGGACAAAAAUGUCCUGCAUGGCUGUGCCAGCUGGAGAUUGGUUUUGAUGACUCCUUAGCUCUGAGAGAGAGCUGUCUUUUAACGAAGGCCACACGGGCUGACACCCACAGAGAGUAGCCUCCCUUUGCUGACAUUGCGGAGUUUGAUCAAAAUGUCUUUUAACAAGAUCUAAGGAGGACUAGUUCUACAUUUUAAUCUACACAGUGAGCUGGCCGGGAGGGGGUCCUGCUGUGCAGCUUGUGCGUUCUUUCGGACAAGCUUGUUCUUGUGUGCUGUUCCUGCAAGGUUCUCUCAUCAGCUCUUGCUUGAGAACAAGCAAGUCUGCAGUGUUAGAGACGAAGGUCCGUCAGCACAGUUCCUCCACCCUGUCCCCCAUAUCUAGAGCUAUGCCUGCAGCAAGUCACCUCACAGCAGAUAACCUUGACGCUGGACCUGAGAUUAGCCUCACCCCUGCUGUGCACCCUGGGCAUGUUCACUUAGAGGCAACACUGCUGGGGAUUGUGUGUGUCUGUACAGCGGUUCCAACAGCUGUGUUGUUAAUAGGAGAACUGCUUUAAGGAAGUGAAGAGAGUCUUUUGGUCCUGUUCAUAUUCACUGAGGAUUCAACUUGAGUCUCACUGCAGACUGCAUUUGCUGUUACAGCCAAUGACAGUGAAGAAGUGAUACAGUCCAUGUGUGACCAGUCCUAAUAUACUUCCCAGCUGCCCUAACUUCCGGUUCCCACCUACCUCCACAGACCUCCUAACAAUCCCGAACAUCAGGAUGUGUUUCUAUUGAGUCACAUUCAAGACCUGGGCUGGCCCCAGGCGAUUUUAUACAGUGAGAGAAGUGUUUGUCAAAUGUCUGUCCCAGAUGAAUCUUACUUGGGAUUUCUGGGUGAUUUUGAAAACUAAUGUGUUUUUAAAAGCUAUAAUGGCCUUUGACUUUGUAAAAAAUCUGUAUGUCUAUAUGAAUUUUAUUACCAAAUACCUGACUUCUACAAAAAGUGGAAGACCUUAAGUAUUAUUUUCAGUUCUCCAAACUUCCUUCUUGAUUUCCGGCAUGAGCUCUACUUUGAAAGGAAAAAAAGAGAAGCAACCAAGAGCCUCUUGCCGGAAUGGUGUCUGAUGCUCACAAACAACAUUCCCUCCCUCUCCCUCAGUGGGCCAAAAAAGAUUGGUGACUUAAAUUUUAAUGAUUUCAUUUGUUCUGUCUUUAGAGGUCCAUAAUUUGCCAGCUCUGCUAAUAUAGUUGAGAAGGCCUCCCUGGUUUAGAUUAUACCUAUAGGUAUGACCACCAUGUGGUAGGUGAAAAGUGAUCGUAAAUAAUACUUGAAAGUCUAGAGAAAGAAGGAACAUUCCAGGCUCUAUCCCAAAAAGUAAAAGAAAGUGGCAGACAGCUAGUCGGGGCUCUCAAGAGAUUCUGCCCCUUAGAUGUGUCAUCUGUUCUGAUUUUUGUUUCUGCAUGGUAGGUCUGCUUCUGCAGGUGAGACGCAUCACCACUAUAGAAUGCCAUUUCUAAAUGCUGUGCCUUUUAAUAUCCAAGCCAUUCAAGACCGAUUCCACAUCCUCCGUUGCUGUUGUUACAUGCAAAGCAAAGAUGUAUUUAAUUUGAAAUUGGGUUCACAGUGGACAUCUUUUCUAAGCACCAGUGAUCCAGCAUCUGUGCAUCUGGACAUCUGUACCUGGAUGUUUCUCAGGACAGAUCAAUCCUGUCCCAGUCAGAGCUUCCUGGAGUCAGGGCAUGGCUUCUGCACUGUGGCUUCAUCAUGGAUAGGAACAGCAGAAGUGACCCUCAGGCCAGUGCCAAGAAGUAUGAGUCAGGGUCUUUCAGCAGCUUAAAGCCAGGAUGCUGGGUAGAGUGUGCCCACAAACUGUUUCUUGUCAGGAUCCAGGGAAAGGGGAGCUGAAAGACUUAGGACAAAAUAAGUAGAAACUUCCAGCUAGUCUUAGAGAGAGGGAGAAUCAGCUUAUAUAAUGUAUGUAUGUAAAUUUGCUUAGCCAUCCCAUGUACUUCAUUAUUGCCUUCAUGUUCUCUUAGGCAUUGCCAUUUAUGUUUAGAACGUACUGUGGGCCACUUCUGUAAUUUAAUAGUUGGUCCCUUUUGGGGGGUACAUAUUGGUGCCCACUGUGCGUGACUUGCUGACCAACCUUCUCGGCUGUGCUUUUGGUGAUAACUAAUCCACAUUGGGGUGCUGUCGUCCGUCAAGUCAAGUGCUGCUCCUGAGAUGGCAAGUCGGCUUUGAUGCUGAAAUAGGGCCCAUGUACAAGACGUGCAUUUUUGCUGAAUGAAGGGUUUUUUUGUUGUUUAAAAAAAAAAAUAGUUAUUUGAUUUCUUGUAAAUGCUGUGAAUCUCUACUUGUCAUUUUGUAUCUGUAUAUUAAAAUAAUUUGCCACA